CAGGAUGGGAGCAGUCAGCUGCAGCUCUGUAUAAGCCUCCUGAAGGAUCAUUUUUAAAGAUGCUGGAAUCCAGCGAUGUGGAGAGCCCUGAGCUGUAUGAAGCUGGAACAAGCACGGCUUUGUUCAACACUCCCAGCACUGAACAACCUGUACCUUUUGGCACUGAGGCUGUGAUGGAAGCAGGAACCUGCUUUGGCUCUCCUGUGCUUGGAGAAACAGUGCUCAGGGCUGCUGCCAGCACCUGGCAAGGGAGCUUUGUCCUGCACUCCUAUGGGUCCCAUCCCUUCAUGAAUUAUUGGCCACCCAUGUGUUGGGACCCUUACAGCACCAGAGGAGUCUCUGGCCCUGUGUGGACCUCAGGUGUAGAAGGUAUCACAGUUCCCUUGAGCACAGUCCCUCAAGGUGGCUGUGUUGAAGCCAGCUCAGAAAGAAUCAUUCAGCAGUCAGAUUUACAGGAUGAAAGCUUAACCCUUAGAGGAGGACAGCUAGUGACCCUGGAAUCUGUUCCCCACAGUUCCUCUCAGACUGUGUUUGACAACCCUCAUUACCCAUCUGUUCCUGCACCGUGUGUGGAAGAAAGCCAAGCCUCGGGACAAAGCCAGGUCCUGGAGGGUCCAGUUGUUGGCUCACUAAUGGACGACAGGUACCAGGCAGCGUGCCUGCUCUGCGAAUUUUCUGCCAGUGCAUGGAUGUGACCUGCCUGCAGAUACACUCCACGUGUCUGUGCUUCCUGGGAAACACCCCAUUGCUUCCUUUGCUGGAGUCUGACAGGGAGUUAAACAGAGUGAGGGAGAAAGAUAGAGGUGUUUUCAAUGGUUACCAAGUUUGGAUUAGUUACAGUUUUAUUAAGAAUUUUGCAAAGGAUAGAAGAAAGCAAAGAUGCAUUGUGGACUGUAGGUUUUUCCUGGAGCUGUCUGAAGCUGCACUGUAGAUGUUAAAAUUAUCAAGGCACUGGUUCUGUGGCACUAACAUAGAUCUAAUCAUAGCACUGGCCAGAUCCGAGUCCUUGGUUGCUUUACGUAGUUAAAUAAAGCACCUGUGCUCAAAGGAGGAAAAUUUGGUUACGUUGCCCUGCUGUGGAUAUUGGAUAAUCUUUUCUCAGGCUUGGAAAAUAAGGUGUCAACUAAGUGCUGGUAAAAUACUGCUAUUUCUUAUCCCUGCCUUCCCAUUGUACUGCAGGGUGUAGCUUCUGGAGCGCUCCAUACCCUGUAGUGCCACAGGCGACACAAACUGAGCAAAGCAGAAUUUUCAGUGCUAG
rnacentral:lncRNA from 12 species